AACAGACGUGUGGAAACCUUACCGGAGAACAUUUGAGGUUUGAAGAGGGAUAUAUAGAGACCAUCAGCUGUUAUUCAGACUUUCCGCUGCGCGAUGAAGUUGGGUAAUUGGCAUGGACCACACAUUGACCAUGGCUGCUUGACACAGUUCCAGCAUUUCGACUUCUGGGAUCGCAGUUCUCCAGCACCCUUACGCUUCAACUUUUCUCGAUCCCCACUGUAUGAUUUGAGAGUUCC